AUUGAACGCUGGCGGCAGGCCUAACACAUGCAAGUCGAGCGGAUGAAGGGAGCUUGCUCCUGGAUUCAGCGGCGGACGGGUGAGUAAUGCCUAGGAAUCUGCCUGGUAGUGGGGGAUAACGUCCGGAAACGGGCGCUAAUACCGCAUACGUCCUGAGGGAGAAAGUGGGGGAUCUUCGGACCUCACGCUAUCAGAUGAGCCUAGGUCGGAUUAGCUAGUUGGUGGGGUAAAGGCCUACCAAGGCGACGAUCCGUAACUGGUCUGAGAGGAUGAUCAGUCACACUGGAACUGAGACACGGUCCAGAGGCCUAAGGGAGGCAGCAGUGGGGAAUAUUGGACAAUGGGCGAAAGCCUGAUCCAGCCAUGCCGCGUGUGUGAAGAAGGUCUUCGGAUUGUAAAGCACUUUAAGUUGGGAGGAAGGGCAGUAAGUUAAUACCUUGCUGUUUUGACGUUACCAACAGAAUAAGCACCGGCUAACUUCGUG
rnacentral:rRNA from 1 species